UAGCUCAGCUGGUAGGGUGCUUGCCUAGCAUGCAGGAAGCCCUGGGUUUGAUCCCCAG
rnacentral:tRNA from 1 species